ensembl:lncRNA
AUGUGUUUAUUUUCUGUUUUUCUAUUUUAUUUUAUUUUUUCAGCAAGACGAGUUUGUCUUCCGGCUGGAUGGACACACACCCUGCCUGAAGUGGACCAGAGGUGGAUCUCCAAGGCCCUGUUCAGGUGGACAGCACAGGGGCAUCCCGAGCUGGUAUUUAGUAGGGUGAACAAACUUUGGUGGUAUCCUCCACCCGUGCCACUGAAGACCAGCAAUUCUCCUUCCUUGGAGAAUUACUUUGGCCAUCGCCUGCUGCUCUGGAUGCCACGAAAACUGUGGCAAGUGAAGCUGACUUGUCCGCAUCCAGACUGUCAAAAAGAACUUCUGACCUCAGCUGGCUUGCAUCAAAAGAUCAGGCAGGUGGUUGCCAUGGGUGAGAUGUACUUUGUUGCAUCUGAGUACCUGGCCUGCCGAAGAUGUAAGAGGAAGGUCAUCAGCUGGAGCCAUGAUCUCGUUUCCCAGCUCGACAUUGGCCACAGGGUGCUGUUCCCUUGCAUUCUUACUUCAAAACUUGCAUGUGACUUCGAGGUAGUAACUUUGAUGCGUCAGCGCGGGCUGGGAAACAGCAGCAGCCAGAUCCAGCGCAAGCUACAGGAGCGUCAUGUUGAUGUCUGGUUGCAAAAGACAGUCCAGUAUCUGACAGAUUGCAAGGGGGUUGCCAGUGCUGUCACGACGAGCCUGAUCCUGCCUGUGACAUUUGAACCUGUUCCUUCAAUGCCUUCUAUACCCAAGCACCGAUGGCUGAUGCAGGUGUACGCCCAGGAUGUCCUGCAAAGGCUGGAUGAGGUCAAGGCCACUAUAACAUCACAAUAUGGUCGAAUCUUAAAAAUGGAUUCUACCAAAAAAGUGGCCAGAAAACUAGCAGGACGCAGCUAUGGCACUGCUACUUGGGCAACUAAUGUUGGCAAUGAGCAUGGACAGGUGAUCAUGUCCGUGCUCACAGCGAGCGAAGGUUUUGGUCUGGGGCCAAUGAUAGAAGGCCUUAUCAAGCGAUACAGAGUGGCUGGGGUGGCUCCUCCCGAAGUGCUGUAUGUCGACCGAGACUGCUGUGGCAACACUCUUUUGAGGAGGAUGUUUGAAGAGUGGGAGCAAAUGACCAUCCGGUUAGAUGUCUGGCACUUCAUGAGAAGGUUUGCUGUGGGCUGCACCACCGACUCACACCAGUUAUAUGCCACUUUUAUGAGUGGCCUCAGCCAUUGUAUUUUCAUGUGGGACCAGGUCGACCUGACUGCCCUGAAGACAGCGAAGCAUGCAGAGCUAGAAGCUGAUGGGAAACCAUCAUUCGAGGCUGAUGUGCUACGCUGUAUCAGUCGUAGCGAGCUAGCGCUGCAUUGCAGGAGAACCACUCGCGGGACCAAAGAGACCCUGGCAUUGAUUGAGAGCCAUGUUCAGGCCUUUGAUGGAGAUGCUGGUCGUGACACUCUGGGAGUCCCACUAAUAAACUCAGCCCGCAUGAGAGAGAUUUUAAAGUCCCAGCGGAAGCAUGUGGCCUGCAUCCAGGAUCCUGUCGGUGUGCAGCUCUACAUGCAGACGGGUACUGUACUGAAGGGAGGGCACCGCCUGCCAACAUACCGCUGUGCCAGAGGUUCCACUUCACUUGAGUCAUUUCACCUGCACCUUAACAGAUUCAUCCCAGGUAAUAAAUUAUUUAAUUGA